rnacentral:rRNA from 1 species
UACGUAGGGUGCAAGCGUUGUCCGGAAUUAUUGGGCGUAAAGAGCUCGUAGGCGGUUUGUCGCGUCUGCUGUGAAAACCCAGGGCUUAACCCUGGGCCUGCAGUGGGUACGGGCAAACUAGAGUGCGGUAGGGGAGAUCGGAAUUCCUGGUGUAGCGGUGAAAUGCGCAGAUAUCAGGAGGAACACCGGUGGCGAAGGCGGCAUCCUGGACCGGCAUUGACGCUGAGGAACGAAAGCCAGGGGAGCAAACGGG